CCCCUGGUAGCUCAGCUGGUAGUAGCGCUUGUUUGAAGCACAAGAGGUCAUCCGUUCGAACCGGAUCUAGGGGG
rnacentral:tRNA from 1 species